GACGAACGCUGGCGGCGUGCUUAACACAUGCAAGUCGAGCGAUGAAGCUCCUUCGGGAGUGGAUUAGCGGCGGACGGGUGAGUAACACGUGGGUAACCUGCCUCAUAGAGGGGAAUAGCCUUUCGAAAGGAAGAUUAAUACCGCAUAAGAUUGUAGCUUCGCAUGAAGCAGCACUUAAAGGAGUAAUCCGCUAUGAGAUGGACCCGCGUCGCAUUAGCUAGUCGGUGAGGUAACGGCUCACCAAGGCGACGAUGCGUAGCCGACCUGAGAGGGUGAUCGGCCGCAUUGGGACUGAGACACGGCCCAGACUCCUACGGGAGGCAGCAGUGGGGAAUAUUGCACAGUGGGGGAAACCCUGAUGCAGCAACGCCGCGUGAGUGAUGACGGUCUUCGGAUUGUAAAGCUCUGUCUUCAGGGACGAUAAUGACGGUACCUGAGGAGGAAGCCACGGCUAACUACGUGCCAGCAGCCGCCGUAA
rnacentral:rRNA from 1 species